AUUCCCACUGCGGAAGUGUCGUCGGAGGCGGGGCCUGGGAUCAGGUGACCGGAAGUAGCGGGUGAUGGUGUCUCUGUGGCCGGUAGAUGGAGGAGGCGACGAUGGAAGAAGAUCCCAACCACAAUCACUGGCCGACCCGACCUCGAUCACCGACCAACCCUGACUACCUGAGGAAACCGAUCUCUAUCAACCCCGGGACCAACAAAUUCUUGAUGAAUGUGAUCACAGUAGAGGACUAUAAGCGUCUGUACUGGCCCAAGCUGGAGAGCGCCAUCGAACAACUGCUCACACAAACCGCUGGAGACUAUAUCCCGAUAUCAUACGAGCAGAUCUACAGUUGUGUCUACAAGUGUGUGUGUCAGCAGCACUCGGAGCAGAUGUACAGCGACCUCCUGUGUAAGAUCACCCAGCACCUUCACCAGGUCUCCCAGGAGCUGCAGGCAAGUUCUCCAGAGCAGUAUAUAGAGAAGUUUAAUGUGGCCCUGGGCCAGUAUAUGGGAGCUCUACACAGCAUCGUCCCUCUCUUCAUCUAUAUGAAUAAGUUUUAUAUAGAAACUAAACUGAACCGGGACCUGAAGGACGAUCUGAUCCAACUCUUCACCCGCCAUGUGGCAGAGAAGCACAUCUACAACCUGAUGCCAUUACUUAUAGAAGCCCAGUCUACACCGUUCCAGAUCACCCCCUCCACCAUGGCCAGCAUCGUAAAGGGCCUCUACACACUGAGACCUGAAUGGGUCCAACUCGCACCAACGCUCUUCUCCAAAUUCAUCCCAAAUAUUUUGCCUCCCGCCUUGGAGUCGGAGCUGCAGGACUACGCUGCACAAGACCAGAAGCUUCAGAGAGAACUCAUGCAGAACGGAUUUAACAGUCAAGUGACCGGCACAGCACCAAUCAGGGCUGGCCAGACACAGGCUCAUACUGUAGAGGGCACACAUCAGCAGAGUAAUAGAAGCCCCUCCUAAAGAUCUUUUCCUGCAGAUGCCAAAGAACAGGGAAAGAUCAUGUGACCACACAACAGCGCUGCAGGAAUAAGAGGAGACCAGUCCCGGAAAAGAGCUGGAGACGACUUGUCAUACAGUGGUUCCUGCAGCGGCUCUCAGAACUACAGAUAAGAGCAGGGGUCCUU